ACGUAGGGGGCAAGCGUUGUCCGGAAUUACUGGGCGUAAAGGGUGCGUAGGCGGUUAUUUAAGUCAGAUGUGAAAUCCCCGGGCUUAACUCGGGUGGUGCCUUUGAAACUGGGUAACUAGAGUGCAGGAGAGGGAAGCGGAAUUCCUAGUUUAGCGGUGCAAUGCGUAGAUAUUAGGAGGAACACCAGUGGCGAAGGCAGCUUUCUGGACUGUAACUGACGCUGAGGCACGAAAGCGUGGGGAGAAUACAG
rnacentral:rRNA from 1 species